rnacentral:rRNA from 1 species
GACAGAGGGUGCAAACGUUGUUCGGAAUUACUGGGCGUAAAGCGCGUGUAGGCGGCUCGGCAAGUCGGGUGUGAAAGCCCUGGGCUUAACCUAGGAAGUGCACUCGAAACUGCCAAGCUUGAGGUCUGGAGAGGAAGGCGGAAUUCUCGGUGUAGAGGUGAAAUUCGUAGAUAUCGAGAGGAACACCGGUGGCGAAGGCGGCCUUCUGGACAGCAACUGACGCUGAGACGCGAAAGCGUGGGGAGCAAACAGG